rnacentral:rRNA from 1 species
UGGGCAGCAUGGAGCACUCUGAUGCAGCGACGCCGCGUGAAUGAUGAAGGCCUUCGGGUCGUAAAGUUCUGUCCUUGGGGAAGAUAAUGACGGUACCCAAGGAGGAAGCCCCGGCUAACUACGUGCCAGCAGCCGCGGUAAUACGUAGGGGGCGAGCGUUG